AGAGUUGAUCAUGGCUCAGGAUGAACGCUAGCUACAGGCUUAACACAUGCAAGUCGAGGGGCAGCAUUGGGAUAGCUUGCUAUCCAGAUGGCGACCGGCGCACGGGUGAGUAACGCGUAUCCAACCUUCCCUAUAGUAGAGAAUAGCCCGGCGAAAGUCGGAUUAAUGCUCUAUGUUGUGUUUUGAGGACAUCUGACGAACACCAAAGGUUCACCGCUAUAGGAUGGGGAUGCGUCUGAUUAGCUUGUUGGCGGGGUAACGGCCCACCAAGGCGACGAUCAGUAGGGGUUCUGAGAGGAAGGUCCCCCACAUUGGUACUGAGACACGGACCAAACUCCUACGGGAGGCAGCAGUGAGGAAUAUUGGUCAAUGGGCGGAAGCCUGAACCAAGCCAAGUAGCGUGAGGGAUGACUGCCCUAUGGGUUGUAAACCUCUUUUGUUCGGGAAUAAAGUUCGGGACGUGUCCCGUUUUGUAUGUACCGUUCGAAUAAGGACCGGCUAAUUCCGUGCCAGCCGCGGC
rnacentral:rRNA from 1 species